ACCUACGGGGCGCAGCAGUGGGGAAUCUUGGACAAUGGGCGAAAGCCUGAUCCAGCAAUGCCGCGUGCGUGAAGAAGGCCUUCGGGUUGUAAAGCGCUUUUGUCCGGGAGGAAAUCCUGAGAGCUAAUAUCUCUUAGGGAUGACAGUACCGGAAGAAUAAGGACCGGCUAACUACGUGCCAGCAGCCGCGGUAAUACGUAGGGUCCAAGCGUUAAUCGGAAUUACUGGGCGUAAAGGGUGCGCAGGUGGUUCAUUAAGUGUGAUGUGAAAGCCCCGGGCUCAACCUGGGAAUUGCAUUGCAAACUGGUGAACUAGAGUAUGGCAGAGGGGGGUGGAAUUCCGCGUGUAGCAGUGAAAUGCGUAGAGAUGCGGAGGAACACCGAUGGCGAAGGCAACCCCCUGGGCUAAUACUGACACUCAUGCACGAAAGCGUGGGGAGCAAACAGGAUUAGAUACCCCGGU
rnacentral:rRNA from 1 species